rnacentral:tRNA from 1 species
CAAGAAAUAGUUUAAUAAAACAUUAACUUUGGGAGUUAAAGAUCAACUUCUUUUGUUUCUUGG